GGUGAGAGAAAAUACCAGGUUGCUAUGAAAGAAACAGUUCUCUCUGCAAAGGUUUGGAAUCAAGAUUAAAUCUUGAGAUCAAUACAGCUUGCUUGCUAGUGUAAACAGCUCGCAACUCGUCUGUUGCCUUGGGAGCAGCUCCAGUCUUGGCCCCACAGUCAUCCCCUCUGGUGGUUUAGAAGUGUCUUAACAGCUCAGGAGAGCACGCGGUGGUAGCCAGACUUGUUGAAUGAAUGAAUGAACGCUACCACCUAAGGUUUGUAAUCCACCCCUCACCUCACCCCCUGCCGUCCGCCUUCCUUCUAGCACUUGCAGGGGCUUCUCCACCCACACUUAGCUUAGCACCACGUCUUUCACAUCGUAUGUAUUUGAUAGGAGUGUGCUAAAACUCUUCAUGGGGACCAAAGUGGAUGUGAUGCCAUGUUCAAUGAUUGCUUAACUCUUGGCAAGGGUCUGGAGACAAACAAACGUCUUGAUCUAUCUGUGCAAGAAGUCUACCCCUGCAACGUCUGUUGCAAGUGUAAAUUUUUAUCUUAAAAAUCGGUGGAAGA